GUCAAACACUGAUGCGUGAGGGGAGGAGAAAAGGGAUGGAACACAGCGCGAUAAACUACUGAACCAUUAUGAUGAAUGGGGAAACAAUUGAUAAAUACCAUCGAAACACAUCUCGAUGUAUUCUGUGGUGGAGACAUUAAGGUUGUCAUGGUUUCGAGGGCCUGGCAGAGGCAGGAUUAGGAGCCAUUUUAGGGACAGCUGGCCGGGUCGGGCUCCACCUCCCCUUCAUCCCGCGCAGAGACGCUCAUGGGGGGAUGAGGGGGGACAUUGUGCGAGGAUUAGAGCUUCCUGUGUGUCAGCCGCAUUACACAGGGGGGGGGGGGGGGUAGAAAGAGAGUGAAAGAGGCAAAGAAUGAAAGAGAAAAUGAAAGAGCGAGCAUAUGAAAGAGAGCAUGACACAGAGAGCGUGAGGGUGUUUGAGGGGAGGGAGUGAAGUCUGUACAGCUGCACACUCAAUCACAUUACACAAGUAUACGUGUGUGUGAACAAACACACACACAGGCAGCCAUCAACAUGCACACCACCAAACUGGGGAAUUAAACAUAUUAAAGUAAGCAGACUAAAAGGGGGGGAGGGGAUUGCUCAGGAACAUAGAAACUUAUGGAACAAAAACAAAAAGAUGCCUCAGGAUGCAAGUGAUCGCUUUGUGUUCAAUGCAAUUAAAAUAACGCACAGAUUAUUUUUUUAAAGUAAAAACAAAUCGUGUAACAUUCAUUCUGACUUUAUUUCUCUUUUUGACAAGUUAGGACCACAUUACAUUCAGGAAAUUUACAAAACAAAGCUGGAUAGUGUUCAACAGGGCCAACAAAGUUUCAACAUUCAAGAUAACAGAAAAUAAUGCAAUAAUCUUUAGCAAUUUUGAGCCGCUUUUGCUCAUCUACAGCAUUGUGAAAACUGAUCUGAUUAGCUGUUUUUUUAAACCUAAAUAAAGAAGGAUGAAGAACAGGCAUUGACUGGGACGAAAGUAAAUCUGAAUCUCUCAGCUUUUCCAUUCCAUCAUUGUUAUAAACCUCCCUUGUCAAGAAGAGUUUCAGCAGUUACAGAUAUAGUGCAGCUAUUUAGAGAAACACCUACAAGGUACAGCA